rnacentral:rRNA from 1 species
GGAGUCUAGCAUGUGCGCGAGUCAUUGGGACAUAACUAAACCUAAAGGCGCAAUGAAAGUAAAGGCCAGCCUCGCGCUGGCCGAGGGAAGAUGGGCGCGGCACCGUCCGCGCUCCGCACUCCCGGGGCGUCUCGUUCUCAUCGCGAGAAGAGGCGCACCAAGAGCGUACACGCUGGGACCCGAAAGAUGGUGAACUAUGCCUGGUCAGGACGAAGUCAGGGGAAACCCUGAUGGAGGUCCGUAGCGAUUCUGACGUGCAAAUCGAUCGUCGGAACUGGGUAUAGGGGCGAAAGACUAAUCGAACCAUCUAGUAGCUGGUUCCCUCCGAAGUUUCCCUCAGGAUAGCUGGCGCUCGUCGCUCACGAGUCUCAUCCGGUAAAGCGAAUGAUUAGAGGCAUUGGGGCCGAAACGGCCUCAACCUAUUCUCAAACUUUAAAUGGGUGAGAUCUCCGGCUUGCUCGAACUGUUGAAGCCGCGAGACACGGAUCAGAGUGCCAAGUGGGCCAUUUUUGGUAAGCAGAACUGGCGCUGUGGGAUGAACCAAACGCCGAGUUAAAGCGCCUAAAUCGACGCUUAUGGGAUACCAUGAAAGGCGUUGGUAACUUAAGACAGCAGGACGGUGGCCAUGGAAGUC